rnacentral:misc_RNA from 1 species
GGUUGUGAGGGGCGAGAGUGAGGUGCCAGGUGUGGGGGGCGUGCGUGAGGGGCUGCGCGCACCCUCCUCCCCGGCCAGUAUCAACAAACCUCUGGCUGUCAUGGUCAGCUGGAGAGGGCAGGAAGUAUAGUUACCAGAAAUUAGUAUGUUUGUGUGCAACUGAUGCUGACUCACAGCGUGACGAUGGAGCUGGAAAAAUGGCCGAUAUUCAGUUUACUGAAGCCAGAGUUUAUAGAGAAGAUAAAGUUGGCGUGUGUGUUUGGUAGUCUUGGCAAUGAAGCAGUUAUGGUAACCAAAGAUGAUGAUGUAUACGCCCUUGGGUUCAAUAGCUCUGGUUGUCUUGGUGUUGGAGACCAGAAUAGCACAAUGGAACCACGUAAAAUUGAACCUUUGUGUCAGAAGAAGGUUAAAGGUAUUGCAUAUGGAAGUGGUCCACAUGUCCUAGCAUAUACAGAGAGUGGAGAGUUGUAUUCCUGGGGACAUAAUGGUUAUUGUCAACUAGGAAAUGGAUCUACUAAUCAAGGUCUUACACCAUAUUUGGUGACUACUCAUUUGCACAAUAAACGUGUGGCACGAAUUGCUGCAGGCUCUCACCAUUCAUUGGCAUUAACAGAAGAAGGCGAGGUACUAGCUUGGGGACAAAACAACUGUGGACAGGUUGGUUCUGGAACAACAACUAACCAGCCUACUCCAAGAAAAGUAAUUGCUAUCAUAGGAGGAAGACGAGUAGUUGACAUAGCUUGUGGGCAGACUUCUUCUAUGGCUGUAAUGGAUAAUGGAGAGGUUUAUGGGUGGGGCCUGAAUAGUAAUGGUCAGUUAGGCCUGGGUAACAAUGUCAACCAGCACAACCCAUGCAGAGUCACAGCUCUCCAAGGAGUCGUCAUCACAAAGAUUGAUUGUGGAUAUUCUCACACACUUGCCCUGAGUGAUGAGGGUAGCUUGUGGGCAUGGGGUGCAAACAGCUAUGGUCAGCUGGGAACAGGAAACAAGGCCAACCAGUGUGCUCCAGUCAGAGUGGCACAGGACCUGGGCCGUAUUGUUGAUAUUGCGUCAUCACACUACUGUCAUCUUUCAGCAGCUAUGACACAAAAUUCAAAAAUUUACCUCUGGGGUCACUGUAAAGGUCAGAGUGUAGUGGGACCCCUCGAGACAGGAUUCAGUAGUCUUCAUGAAGUGUUUGCUCUGUGGGCAUCUCCAAGCGUGACUUACGAACCUCUCAGUGUCACUACUUUUACUCGUACCUCCUUAGCUCAAGCUAUGGCUCUGGCAUUAGAUGAUAAGGAAACUGCUGAUGUUGUGUUCGUGGUCGAUGAGCGAAGGAUUCAGGCCCAUCGUGCAGUCCUUAAAAUUAGAUGUCAGUACUUCCGAAACAUGUUUCAAGAGCACUGGAAGGAAAAUAAUUUAGAAGAGGUUGAAGUAAAGGAUUACUCAUAUGUUGUGUUUCGGGCAUUUCUGCAAUACAUAUACACUGAUACUGUUAUUGUUUCUCCAGAAGACGCUAUAGGAUUGCUCGAGUUGGCAAAUGCAUAUUGCGAAGAAGCUUUAAAACACCAUUGUGAGCGUAUAAUUCGUCAUGGCAUUACAACUGAGAAUGCUGCAAUGCUUUAUGCUGUUGCCAUAAAGUAUGAAGCUACUGAGCUGGAAGAAUUUUGCUUCCGUUUCGCACUCAAUCACAUGACAGAAGUUGCACAGACAGAGGCAUUUAUGGCCCUUGAUGAAUUAACUGUAAAGAACUUCAUCCAGCGAGCAGCUCAACAUGGAGCAUUUAAGUACUGAUAUUCUAGCUACUUGUUGAUGAGAAUCUCGCAACAGCAGCAGCAGCCACGGCAUGAUCACCACUCCUAACUUUGUAAAGAACUUGUAGCAAAGAUGACACCUUCGACGUUUUCCGUCGAAGAUGGCAUGGCAUGGUUUUCGACGAUGGCAUGGGUCAAAUUCUUAUUGAGACGAUGUUCUGAAUCCACAAUACCAGGUGGCUUUUUCUUAGGACGAGGUCGACGACUGGUACUAGGAGCCACUUCAGGUUCUGAGUCGGAUGAGGUGUCAUCUGCUCGAGGUGUCGAAGGAAAUAGAGGACGCCUCACACCAGAUAGUCCCGGUCUGCCAACAUUGCCACAUAUCAGCAUUUAUAUCCGGAGCAUGUGCGAUGGGGUUAUCUGUGUUGGGCCACUCAUCAUUUUCCCACCUCAACAAGGACCAUAUUGCUACCUCAUGAAACUGGAGCAAGGUCAUUUUUGUCUGAUCACUACUGUAGGUCUUGUACAACACACAUGCAUUAUGGAGAGCCAUUUGCAGGAAAUAAAAGAUAAUUUUUUUGAUCCACUUGUGACAUUUUCGUGUGAACUUGUAAUAUUUUACCAUCUGGUCAAAGUCAUCAACACCUUUCAUGUAGGUAUUGUAGUCAUAUAUUGCAUUUGGUUUGUUUACAGUUACAAGGUUCACUGAAGUUGUUCCGUCACGUUUCCGCACUCUUUUCCUUCGUUCGACUUCCUGUGUGUCAGCAUUGUGGCAGUUUGUGAUUAGUGAGACCACUCGCUUGUCUUUCCACAGGAUUAUAAAUGUAUUAUCCUUGCGGCUGAAUAUGGUUGUAUCCACAGGAAUUUUACCCUUUGCUUGCUGUUGCAGAUGCUUGGGGGCACCACGCUAUAAUCUGAUAGUUCCACACGUGUAAACACCAUGUUGACGUAGCUGUUCUGUGAGGCUGACAGAGUUAUAGUAGUUAUCCAUAUACAGAUGAUAACCCUUGUACAUUAGGGGCCGAAUCAAGCCCAUGACUGUCUCCACUGUUGUUUUACCAAUUCUGGAAUACACCUCGAAGUCAUAUAUGUAGCCAGAUGUUCCAGUGAAACUGUCUACAGAUAGUGGAGUGUUGCCAGUACACCAGGCUAUCCCUCAUCCUCCUCCUCAGAAUCCUCACUUUUCUCACUCUCCUCAACCGUUGACUCACCAUCAUCUGCCGUCUCUGUAUCACUGUUGAAAUCACUGACCUGUUCUUUCCCGUCAAUAUCGGAUAAUUCUUCAAUCAAACCUGGGAUUUUUGUUGGUUUAAGUCGAACUCUGCGAAAUUUACGGUAAAGCAUACUUAGCUUAUCCUCUUUGGUUGGUUUCUUUGUUUUUUUGGCGUUGAAGUGCUCUGUCCUUGACUCUGAUCCAUCGUGUAACGUAUAUAAAGUGUUGAAAGACACGGGAACUAAUAUCAAUACCGAUAAUAGCCGAGAUUUGCACAAGUUUGGGACUCGAGCGGGUGCUGUUCUGGUCACGAACGAGAUAAACACAGCAUUAGGCCCACCGCAUUUUUACAAAUAUUUUAAUGGAUGACGCAAGGAUUGGCAUCCGUUCACAAUAGGGAGAAAAAUGGAUGAUGACGCUCACGACAUUGGUGUGGGAAAGUGUUAAAUUAAGAGUUGUGUGUCCUCAUGGCCGUCCGUUUCUCAUCACCGUAACCGGCGAUGGGAAAUGGCUCUGGCGAGGUUGUGUAUUGGCCAUACUCUCUUAACUCAUGGUCACUUGGAGCGCCGCCCUGCUCCUUAUUGUCCAAAUUGCAUUGUCCCUCUUACAGUCAUGCAUAUCCUUGUUGAAUGUCCUGACUUCCGGAACGAGCGUGUGUCUUGUUUUCUGACUGUCCCCUUCGGUUGCUUGUCCCUCAAUGGUAUUCUUGGUGACUUAGAUACUUUUGAUAUCAUUCGCCUUAUGCGUUUCUGUUCGUGAAUUGGCAUUCUUGGUGAUAUUUAGCGCCCUCUGAUUAUCCCGCACAUUUGAUGGUGCUACAUAGCCUUCCUGGUUUGGUGCCUUCUUUUGAUACUUACUUACUUACUUGUAAGUGUAGUUGGCCAAGUAUAUUAAAAGGACGAGUGCUAAGCUCGUGAUAUUCCAUCUCCUCUACUCGGUAAUCUUUUUCAUGUACCUGUAGCUUUAAAGCCUUGAGUGAUGUUGGUGUACACAACUCAAUCAUUUAAUUUAUUCAUUAUACUGUAUAUUAUAAUUAAUAUAUACAGUAUUACACACACUUUGCAUGCAUACUCAUAUACACAUACACAAAUGAGUGUGUUUUCCAUUAAAAAUUAGAACAAAAAAGUGAGGAAAUUAAAUUGCAGGGAAUGGAAGAGGGAGGGGAGGGAGGGUGGGAGAGAGAUUGACAAAAUAGUUGAGAGGGAAAAGUAAAAGAAUUUAGAGAGUGUGCAAGAAUACUGUGGUCCGGAUGCUGUUAAACACAUCAUAUUGUGCAAUAUUUAAAACAUUAUUAAACUAAAUUCAAAUAUUGUUAUAAUAGUCAUAACAUUUUCUUUUAAGGACUUAUUUGCCUAUUUAAUUAUUUUGUUCAGUUAAUGUUGUCUGAUUCUGUGAGUGGUUCAGACUGAAGUCAUCAAUUAGAAUGUAAUAUUGGGUUAGAUAUUUUAUAGAUUGCAGGUAAUGUAUGUAGUAAUAGCCAUGUGUUUAAUUCUUUAAUUUGCUGUUAUUUUAAAAUUCAACAUUUGAUGAUUUGGUUAAACCCUAAGCAGAUAAAUAUUGCUUGCAUUAUAUUUAUUUAAUGUACAUAUACACACUUGAACAUUCCAACAUUUUGUAGUAGGAAAGGUUUUCCAGCAACAGUAUUCCACCAAUACUAGAUCUCGUAAACUUUAGGAUUUUCCCGAAACUGCUACAAGAUACUCAGUCCGAGUUCAUUUCAGUAGCUUCAUCUUAUCACAUUUUACUUCUGCACCAGUCAUAUGUUCACACUAUUUUCUAUUUAAUCCCUUGUACUGUACUGUAUAUAUUUUUUGCGACUCCUGUAUAUAGAAGACUCCGACUUCUUCUUUAUGUAUAUGUAUGUAUAUUUUUAUUUAAUAUUGUACUUAUUUUCAUGGCAUUUUCAAUAUUCUUUUACAAUUAGUGUGUGGUCUUAUUUACCUGUAAUGUGAAGUAUCACGUCUUCCAUAUAUAAUAUGAUGAAUUUGUGUGUAGAUGAAAGUGAGUAAUAACCAGUUGAGAUAAACAUGAGCUACAGUGAGCUGUUGCAUUCAAAGUUUAUAUUGGUAUAACAUGUGGUCCCAAAAGUAUACGCUCUACAGAUAAGAGAUCAAGAUUCAGAUUUUUUGUGAAUUUUGUAUGUUAAUUCGAGAUAAACAUUGGUAUUUUAAUUAAUGUACAUGGGAUAAUAAGCACAUACUGUACUGUCUUAGGCUAAUAAAUAUAGGGAGGGAGGGGAGGGAAUUGUCAGGGGAAAGUGCCAAGCCAUUACGACUAUAUAGCAGUGGAAAGGGGUCAGGAUAAGGAUUUGGGAUAGGAUGGGGGGAAGGAAUGGUGUCCACAACAACUUGGACGGUCGGGGAUUGAACGCCGACCUGCAUGAAGCGAGACCGUCGCUCUACUGUCCAGUCCAAGUGGUUGGGCUAAUAAAUAUAGGAUGGAGAUGCAUAUGAUGGUAUCAACUAAAAUGUUUCCACCAUUUUAAUAUUAACAUUAUUUUUUUUUUGUAAAUUAUAAUGAUAAUAUAAGUUAUGCAAAUUAACACUAAGAAGUGAGCAUUUAACAGUGUAUUUACCCAUGUACAAAAAUGAUCUGUUAUAGAGCAAAUUGAAUGUUUCUUGGGGUAUACUCCAGCUCAUUGUUUAAUGCAGUCUCCUAGGGUAGUCAUAUGUGCAGAAAGAUAAAGUCCCAGAGGUAUGAAAUUUAGGCCAAAAAUAUUGUGAUGUACUUGUAGCUGUGUAUGUUGAGAUUCUUGUCAACAAGUAGGACAUGGCUGACUGUAGCAGCAGUAGCAGUGUUGGAUGGUACUGUACUGAUAUAAACAGUCAAAUAUUCUAAAGGUCUAUCAUUGGCUUUUUGGUUAUGUUGUGAAUGCUGAUAAAUACACGAUGUGACCCACUGUAUACUACUGAUCUCUGGUUUGAGAUAAUGUGCUUGUGUGCAUUUUGCAUGAAAGCAUUUGAUAAUUAGUCUUUCAUGGUAGCCAUUGAAGUAAGUUUGAAAAAUAAUAAACGAAUUCAUUAUUUGAAUUCAUGUACUGAUUUUAUCAGUGAUUUAUGUCUUAUCGAUAUAGAAUGUAAUGAGCAAUUUUAAAUACUGUAGCAACUUCAUCACAGAUAAUAUUAGCAAUGCCAGGUGGCUUUAGAUGGUUGUAGUGUAGAUAACAAUGUAAUUGUAGGUAAACUUUUAUCUGAAGGCAUUUAGACAAUUUCUGAAUUAAAAUUUGGUCUUCUGAAACACUGCUAAUAAUCAUUUCAUUCUUGUACAAUAUCCAAUAAUUGUUAUUAAACAGAAUAAAUAUUAA